rfam:TPA: Bos taurus chromosome 15, whole genome shotgun sequence.
CUUAAGGCCUUUCUCAAGGCCACCCUGAGACUCUCAGACAGAACUG